rnacentral:rRNA from 1 species
GACGAACGCUGGCGGCGUGCUUAACACAUGCAAGUCGAACGGAAAGGCCCUGCUUUUGUGGGGUGCUCGAGUGGCGAACGGGUGAGUAACACGUGAGUAACCUGCCCUUGACUUUGGGAUAACUUCAGGAAACUGGGGCUAAUACCGGAUAGGAGCUCCUGCUGCAUGGUGGGGGUUGGAAAGUUUCGGCGGUUGGGGAUGGACUCGCGGCUUAUCAGCUUGUUGGUGGGGUAGUGGCUUACCAAGGCUUUGACGGGUAGCCGGCCUGAGAGGGUGACCGGCCACAUUGGGACUGAGAUACGGCCCAGACUACUACGGGAGGCAGCAGUGGGGAAUAUUGCAGAAUGGGCGGAAGCCUGAUGCAGCAACGCCGCGUGCGGGAUGACGGCCUUCGGGUUGUAAACCGCUUUCGCCUGUGACGAAGCGUGAGUGACGGUAAUGGGUAAAGAAGCACCGGCUAACUACGUG